UACGUAGGUGGCAAGCGUUGUCCGGAAUUAUUGGGCGUAAAGCGCGCGCAGGCGGUCCUUUAAGUCUGAUGUGAAAGCCCACGGCUCAACCGUGGAGGGUCAUUGGAAACUGAGGGACUUGAGUGCAGAAGAGGAAAGCGGAAUUCCACGUGUAGCGGUGAAAUGCGUAGAGAUGUGGAGGAACACCAGUGGCGAAGGCGGCUUUCUGGUCUGUAACUGACGCUGAGGGCGCGAAAAGCGUGGGGGAGCAAACAGG
rnacentral:rRNA from 1 species